ACACUGUAAAAAUUUGCUGUAACUCAUGCAGUAAAAUACUGUGAUUUACAACAGUAAUAUGUUGUAAUAACGAUUUUACGAUAAUUAACUGUAUAAGUACGUUGCUGUACAGUAUAUUGCUGUAAACAUCAGUGUCGUAGAGCAUGGGAACAAAUAUCUACAGUAAGCUAGUGUAAAGGAGCGUGCAAAAAGCAUUGUGGGAUACAGCGCACAUGCGCAUUAGGCGGAUCGGCUGCAUAUGCGCGUAUGCGUUGCACGUGAUUGGCUCCCGCGCUAGCCCGCCACGCCGCGCCGCCAUUUUUAAUUUUCUGCAAAGAUUUGAGCUGAGAUAUAUAGCUGAGCUGGCCGGCCUGAUCCUGAGCAACGAAUCUGAAUCUGUUCUGUUCCUGGUCCUGAUCCUCGAGCUGGGAUAUUGAUGACCAAUAAGUCAAUUCCAAGGGGAUCCGAGUAUGCCAUGGAUUACUGCUGAAGUCACACAGUGUGCAUGCUGAAACACUAAUCAGACGGAUGCUCUACAUGGACAUCAUAUACCCAUGUACGUUUGUAAGCUAUGUAAGGGGGCAACUUUAUGCCAUCCGUGGAUGACCCUCGUGCAGUCGUUCGGAAAAGUAGUCCAUCCUAGUGAGAUUUGUCAUGGGCCAUGGAAUCCACUCAUAUAGGGGUACUUUUUAUAUCGCAACAUGUCUGUUGUUCUGGAAAAAAAGGGGGUUUCCCCUCUAGGUACUUUACUGAUGGGGAUAGAUCAGGGUAAAUUUCCCGAUCACAGAAUACCUGGUAUUCUCGAACUUCCAGUCAGUCUGAAUACGCCUUAAGAUAUAUAUACUGGAAAUGUCAUUUCUUGCAAAAUUUAUAACAUGUUCUGUAUAAUUAUAAGAAGUGUAUCUUAGUACAGACUAACAUUCAGAACAAAUUACAGGGGCGCCUACAUACUACAUCAAUUUCAAAAUUAUCAAUAAAAAAAAAUCCCACUUACAUUGAGUAUCUGAACCCUUUACUUUCACACACUUUCUUAAAAUUUUAUUUGUGUCUUUUUGCCCUUUUUAGACAUUUGCAAAUGUUAUGCUUGCAAAAGGGAUCAUGUACCUUUAAUAUGCAUUUCAAUUGAACUUAAUAUGAAACAUCACAAGUGAAAAUUGAAAUUUGAAAUCAAAUAUUUUGUUAGUGAGGGAGGUUAAAAAAGUCACGUAACUUCGUGGUAUUAAGGAAGCCGUGUGUUUAGCCUUGAUGCAAAGAGACCAACUACAGGGAGCCCAAACUUUUUUAAUAAAUUGUGUCUAGCGGUCAUUGAACUUCCUAGACAAAGCAUUAGCACAUGUAUUCUGUGAGCCUGGCAUGUGUGCAGCCUUGUCAUCAUAAGCAUUGCUUGAUUGUUUACUUACUGUUUUCCAAAAUAUGUUUUACAUUACUUGCAAUUUAGCAUUAUUUUACCUUAGU